rnacentral:rRNA from 1 species
AUUGAACGCUGGCGGCAGGCCCAACACAUGCAAGUCGAGCGGCAGCACGGGUACUUGUACCUGGUGGCGAGCGGCGGACGGGUGAGUAAUGCCUAGGAAUCUGCCUAGUAGUGGGGGAUAACGUCCGGAAACGGGCGCUAAUACCGCAUACGUCCUACGGGAGAAAGUGGGGGAUCUUCGGACCUCACGCUAUUAGAUGAGCCUAGGUCGGAUUAGCUAGUUGGUGAGGUAAUGGCUCACCAAGGCGACGAUCCGUAACUGGUCUGAGAGGAUGAUCAGUCACACUGGAACUGAGACACGGUCCAGACUCCUACGGGAGGCAGCAGUGGGGAAUAUUGGACAAUGGGCGAAAGCCUGAUCCAGCCAUGCCGCGUGUGUGAAGAAGGUCUUCGGAUUGUAAAGCACUUUAAGUUGGGAGGAAGGGCAGUUACCUAAUACGUGAUUGUUUUGACGUUACCGACAGAAUAAGCACCGGCUAACUCUGUGCCAGCAGUCGCGGUAAUACAGAGGGUGCAAGCGUUAAUCGGAAUUACUGGGCGUAAAGCGCGCGUAGGUGGUUUGUUAAGUUGGAUGUGAAAGCCCCGGGCUCAACCUGGGAACUGCAUCCAAAACUGGCAAGCUAGAGUAUGGUAGAGGGUGGUGGAAUUUCCUGUGUAGCGGUGAAAUGCGUAGAUAUAGGAAGGAACACCAGUGGCGAAGGCGACCACCUGGACUGAUACUGACACUGAGGUGCGAAAGCGUGGGGAGCAAACAGG